GACUGCAUAUGAAGAUCAAUUAUCCUGUACGGUCGAGUUAAGUCGACCGCACGGGAUAAUAGAUCUUCCCAUGCGGUC
rnacentral:pre_miRNA from 19 species